GCACCUUCCUGGGGCAGUGCUGGUGGUGCUGGGGUCGGAUAGAGGGCAGGCAGGGGCCUUACCUAUGAGAACACUGGCUUCAUUUACACAGCAAGCUUGGUUUCAAUGGCUCCAAUUACCCAUUCAUCCGUGCCUCUGCUGAGCACCGUAACCUGCAACCUCCGGUUGCCACUGUGGAUUUGGUAGGCCUUACCUCCGUGGUGGACUGCCGGCUGUCUUCUUAUCGGUGCUGUGCCCCCAGCACACACCUAAGGCUUUCUUCACAGCAGCACUUGAUCAAGACAGAAUAAAAUUCCAUUGUGUAUCGGGACCACAUUUUCAUUAUCCUGUCCCCGGCUGACGGACAUCUAGGCUGGUUUCAUUUCCUGGCUAUUGUGACUACAGCAGCAAAGCUUCAUGGGUAGCUGCUUCAAGUUCCGGCCGCUGUGACUGCUCAGCUAGGAUGGACUGUAACCUGGAAAGAGAGAAGAGAGUCCUGGUUGAGAGGGUAAGAAGGAGGAAUCCACACACCAUUGUCCCUUUAACACUCUGACUACAGCCAGACUCCAGACACAUGGAAGCAAGAGAACCUGUGGGAAGCAGCCCUUCACUCUUCUACCGGGUUAGACAGCCAG